rnacentral:sRNA from 1 species
CUGAGAUAUAAGCUUUCAGAUUAAUGAAGGAUUCGGGAAGAAUAGUGCUGGAAAAAAAAAUGAAGUUUGAAGGAGAAUUUAACUCCAAAACAAUAGGUAAAGUUGGAAAUCAUUUUGGGAGAGUGUGAAAAGGUGUUUCAAGAGUCGCAUGAGUUACCACCUAGUAGACACAUGGAUCAUAAAAUCCCUAUUAAGCAUGGGAUAAAUCCUAUUAAUGUUAGACCUUACCAAUUUUCAUACAUGUUGAAUACAUAAAUUGAAAACCAAGUCUUAGAAAUGCUGAGAACAGGAAUUAUCAGACCUAGUAAUCCUACCUAACCCCUACUCAAGCCCUAUCAUCCUAGUCAAGAAAAGAGAUGGCAGUUAGAGAUUUUGUAUUGUUACAGGGGCUUAAAUAAGGCCACCAUCCCUAACAAAUUCUUAAUACCACGAGUAGAAUACAAGUUAUGGGGGUGCAACAUGUAAGUGAAUGGGUGCAUGAAAUAUAUCAGUCCAAAAACAAAUAAAUAAUACAGGUGGUGGAGAUAGUAAAUAAGUGGUGUAAUGAACAUUAUAUGUAUGGUGUGUGCAGUAAACCCGGCGGUGCAACGAAGAAGAUAAAAACAGGCCUAAAAAAUAAAAUAAAAAAGGUGGGGUGUGUGCAUUUGUGACGCAGGUGUAGGAAGUGAAUACAACCCGUCCCAAAAUUAAAGGCAGAGACGGGUGUGGAGUUUGUACAUUGGGAGGUGCACAAAUUAAAAUGAAAUAAAGAUAAAAAUAAUAAUAAAAACAAAAAAGGGUGGUGUGGGUAGCAAAUAUGGGUGCACGAAAAGAAUCCAUGGCCCAAGACAAUUUAUUUAAUCUCCUUUUCUUCAAUAAAAAUAAAAAAUCAUCAUUCUCAUCUAUCAUCUUCUUCUCGUGGACAACCAAACACCAAGUCAUGGGUCUCAUAGGCGCUCACCUCUAGCUGGUCAGAGUCGCCGUCGUUGUCGUGCUGUUGAUGUCGACAAUUAUCUUUGCUUCAUCGUUGCCGGCUAGGGAGACCUUCAUGGACGCUCCCCUCUCAUUUUUCUCCUUCAUGCGAGAUUCAUCUCUUCCGAUUUUGAUUCCUCGUUAGCUUCUAGAGUGCAACAAUCUCUUGAUCCAGUUUGUCAAGCCUGGAGGUGUAGGCGGAAUGAUG